rnacentral:rRNA from 1 species
GAUGAACGCUGGCGGCGUGCCUAAUACAUGCAAGUCGAGCGAACAGACGAUGAGCUUGCUCCUCUGACGUUAGCGGCUGACGGGCGAGUAACACGUGGAUAACCUACCUAUAUUACUGGGAUAACUUCGGGAAACCGGAGCUAAUACCGGAUAAUAUAUUGAACCGCAUGGUUCAAUAGUGAAAGACGGUUUUGCUGUCACUUAUAGAUGGAUCCGCGCUGCAUUAGCUAGUUGGUAAGGUAACGGCUUACCAAGGCAACGAUGCGUAGCCGACCUGAGAGGGUGAUCGGCCACACUGGAACUGAGACACGGUCCAGACUCCUACGGGAGGCAGCAGUAGGGAAUCUUCCGCAAUGGGCGAAAGCCUGACGGAGCAACGCCGCGUGAGUGAUGAAGGUCUUCGGAUCGUAAAACUCUGUUAUUAGGGAAGAACAAAUGUGUAAGUAACUAUGCACGUCUUGACGGUACCUAAUCAGAAAGCCACGGCUAACUACGUG